rnacentral:misc_RNA from 1 species
AGCAGCCGCGGUAAUUCCAGCUCCAAUAGCGUAUAUUAAAGUUGUUGCAGUUAAAAAGCUCGUAGUUGAAUUUCGGGAUUGACGUGAUGGUCGUGCCUUACGGGGUAUGAACUGUUGCAGUCAAUUUCUCACCUUCUGGAGAAGUAUGAUGUCCUUAAUUGGGUGUCAUAUGGAACCAGAACUUUUACCUUGAAAAAAUUAGAGUGUUUAAAGCAGGCUUAUUGCUCGAAUACAUUAGCAUGGAAUAAUAAAAUAGGACGGCAUGGUUCUAUUUUGUUGGUUUCUAGGAUCACCGUAAUGAUUAAUAGGGAUAGUUGGGGGCAUUAGUAUUCAAUUGUCAGAGGUGAAAUUCUUGGAUUUAUUGAAGACUAACUACUGCGAAAGCAUUUGCCAAGGAUGUUUUCAUUAAUCAAGAACGAAAGUUAGGGGAUCGAAGACGAUCAGAUACCGUCGUAGUCUUAACCAUAAACUAUGCCGACUAGGAAUCAGACGAUGUUAAUUUUUUAAUGUACU